UGAUGCGGUCAUACCAAGGCUACUACACCAGAUCCCAUUAGAACUCUAAAGUUAAGCGCCUUAGGGCCGGAAUAGUACUGGGAUGGGUGACCU
rnacentral:rRNA from 1 species